rnacentral:misc_RNA from 1 species
GGAAAAUGAGAUGACUUCUUUCAAAGCCAACUGGCAUGAUUAGCUUAAAAUGCUAAACUUGCUUUAGUCUUUUGUUCAUAUUGAGUUUUUCCAUCAACCCUUAUAGAUUCUUAUCUUGUACUUGAUGUUCAUGAAAGCAAUGGCAUAGCUCUAAACCCAUCCCAAGUCACAGACAUAACUUCGCUCGAAGCUUCAUUCUGGAGAAUGUUUUCAAG